GCAAGGUCGAGGAAAGUCCGGACUCCACAGGGCAGGGGGCAAGGCUGUAAUGGCCUUGGGGGCUGGGGCAAACCCGGUCGACGGAAAGUGCCACAGAGACUAGACAGCCAGCUUGCUGGCGAUAGGUGAAAUGGGUGGGGCAAGAGCCCACCGCGGCAGUCCGCGAGGAAGGCCGGCAAUCAGGCAAACCCACCCCGGAGCAAGAUCAAAUAGGAGGUCUGACGGGCGGCCCGUCCGGCGUCCGGGCGAAAGCCGGGACUAAGACUUCGGGUUGAUUGCUCAGAUGAAUGACCGGUUAAAACAGAAUCCGGCUUACUC
rnacentral:RNase_P_RNA from 1 species